CGUAUCCCUCCUCGACCUCGACUCAACCGGAGAAGGUCUGGAUGAUGGUGUUGUGCCAUGGGUCAGACAGGUGCUGCAGCAGGUUGUCGAAGGGCCCCUUGCCGGUGACGUUGUGCUGGAUCAGGAAGCCCAGGAACGCCAGCAUCGCCAGCCUCCCUGCACGCAGAACCGGAUGAUGAGAUCAUAACCGUCGUCAGAGAAGGAUCGGAAAGUGGCCGACGGUACUACUACUACUACUA
rnacentral:lncRNA from 1 species